CACGUAGGGGGGCAAGCGUUGUCCGGAUUUAUUGGGCGUAAAGAGCUCGUAGGUGGUUCGGUAAGUCGGGUGUGAAACCUCCAGGCUCAACCUGGAGACGCCACCCGAUACUGCUGUGACUGGAGUCCGGUAGGGGAGCGUGGAAUUCCUGGUGUAGCGGUGAAAUGCGCAGAUAUCAGGAGGAACACCCAGCGGCGAAGGCGGCGCUCUGGGGCCGGUACUGACACUGAGGAGCGAAAGCGUGGGUAGCAAACAGG
rnacentral:rRNA from 1 species